GCCUGGGUGGCUCAGUUGGUUGAGCGUCUGAUUCUUGAUGUUGGCUCAGGUCAUGAUCUCAUGGUUUGUGGGUUCGAGCCCCGCGUCAGGCU
rnacentral:tRNA from 1 species